GAAUCUUGUUGCUAAGAAACCAGCGUUAUUGAUUUCUUACUAUCAUUAUAUUUGGUUGCUAUCAAUUCUCUGUGAUGUCUGUCAUUUUUCUUAGCUGCUGUGUAGCUAAGCAUACUCCAGGAUGCAGUAUGUGGGAACAUAGUAAUUAGACUUUCUCCUCAGUCAGAGCUGCCAAUGUGUGUGGACUGCAUCACUCCUUGAAAACCAGACCCUGCAAUGGAAGAACAUGGAGGGAUCGUUGUAAAAGAGGGAACUGGCACAGAAUUGGUACUCAGGCGGUGCUUCUAGGAUGCAACUGCAAAAGGAUUUCAAGGAUGAGCCUUCUCCACGGAUUGUUGCUUUGCCCAUUCUCAGUCUUUUCAUCUCCUGAGCAGCCUCCAUUUGUUCAACCUUCCCUCAGAGGUCAUGUUUUUGGAAUCAUUCCUGCUGCGCUUUCCUCUGGACUCUCUCUAGUAUUUGUGUAUUUUAUCCAGUGACUACUGAUACAAAAUGCGGCGAUGAAAAAAGUUGCUUUUGCUGCCUGUGGAUGGUCCGAGUGGCAGAGAGAUCCACGUGAGCCAGGGUUUCUCCACAGUUGUCUUGGCCCUCCUGUCCCUCUGUGGAAUGUAUGUGGUGAGGGAUUCAUACACGCAUUUCACUUGCAACAACAACAAAUGCAGAGAAGGGGAACAUUUGUGAACAUCCUCUGACAUUUAAACAAGACAGAAGUGAAAGGAUGCUUUACAGAGAGAAUAUUUAUGGUAACAUGCUGGGAAAAAAAUAAACAUUUUAUUCUCCUGGCAGCCAAUCAGCCUUGCAAAAAUCUGUUCUCUUCUACUUUGGGAAGGCCUCAGGCAAGGUUAGCAGUGCCCAGAAAGCAAAAAAUAUUGAGUUUUGGAAAGAGAGCAUACUGUAGCAAAUGGCUCUUGCAGUCCCCAGACUCCUGCUGCUCCAUGGUGGAGGAGAAAGCCAGGAUGCUUUCCCUUCCCCUGGAGACAACAUCUUGUCCCAAGUCCUGCCAUGAAGCAGGGUCUGGCAUGAGGCGAGGAGCCUGGGUCACUGCGUUCCCUGGGACAAUAAAGCUGUGUGUGCAGAGGGACAACUGGAGCAUGGAACAGCACGGGGUGGCCAGCAGGGAGAGGGAGGUGAUUGUCCCCCUCUGCUUGGCUCUU